rnacentral:rRNA from 1 species
UACAGAGGUCUCGAGCGUUGUUCGGAUUCAUUGGGCGUAAAGGGUGCGUAGGUGGCUAGGUAAGUCGGAUGUGAAAUCCCGGGGCUCAACCCCGGAACUGCAUUCGAUACGGGCAGGCUCGAGUUCGGUAGGGGAGACUGGAAUUCCUGGUGUAGCGGUGAAAUGCGCAGAUAUCAGGAGGAACACCGGUGGCGAAGGCGGGUCUCUGGGCCGAUACUGACGCUGAGGAGCGAAAGCGUGGGGAGCGAACAGG